rnacentral:rRNA from 1 species
CAGUAGCCGCGGUAAUACGAAGGGUGCAAGCGUUACUCGGAAUUACUGGGCGUAAAGCGUGCGUAGGUGGUGGUUUAAGUCCGUUGUGAAAGCCCUGGGCUCAACCUGGGAAUUGCAGUGGAUACUGGGUCACUAGAGUGUGGUAGAGGAUAGUGGAAUUUCCGGUGUAGCAGUGAAAUGCGUAGAGAUCGGAAGGAACAUCUGUGGCGAAGGCGACUAUCUGGGCCAACACUGACGCUCAGGUGCGAAAGCGUGGGGAGCAAACAGGAUUAGAGACCCGAGUAGUCCCUGUCUCUUAUAC